UCUGGUUGAUCCCGGCGGAGGCCACUGCUAUCGGAGUUCGAUUAAGCCAUGCGAGUCGAGAGGUGUAAGACCUCGGCAUACUGCUCAGUAACACGUGGACAACCUACCCUGAAGAGGGGGAUAACCCCGGGAAACUGGGGAUAAUACCCCAUAGGCUAUGGAUGCUGGAAUGCUCUGUAGUUGAAAGGUCCGCCGCUUCAGGAUGGGUCUGCGGCCGAUUAGGUUGUUGUUGGGGUAACGGCCCAACAAGCCUGUAAUCGGUACGGGUUGUGGGAGCAAGAGCCCGGAGAUGGAUUCUGAGACACGAAUCCAGGCCCUACGGGGCGCAGCAGGCGCGAAAACUUUACAAUGCGAGCAAUCGUGAUAAGGGAACUCCGAGUGCCCGUAAAAUCGGGCUGUCCGCCAGUGUAAAUAACUGGUGAAGAAAGGGCCGGGCAAGACCGGUGCCAGCCGCCGCGGUAAUACCGGCGGCUCGAGUGGUGGCCACUAUUACUGGGCUUAAAGCGUUCGUAGCUGGUCUGUUAAGUCUCUGGGGAAAUCUUCCGGCUUAACCGGAAGGCGUCUCAGGGAUACUGGCAGACUAGGGACCGGAAGAGGUGAGAGGUACUCCAGGGGUAGGAGUGAAAUCCUGUAAUCCUUGGGGGACCACCUGUGGCGAAGGCGUCUCACCAGGACGGCUCCGACAGUGAGGAACGAAAGCUGGGGGAGCAAACCGGAUUAGAUACCCGGGUAGUCCCAGCUGUAAACGAUGCGCGUUAGGUGUAUCGGUGACCACGAGUCACCGAGGUGCCGAAGAGAAAUCGUGAAACGCGCCGCCUGGGAAGUACGGUCGCAAGGCUGAAACUUAAAGGAAUUGGCGGGGGAGCACCACAACGGGUGGAGCCUGCGGUUUAAUCGGACUCAACGCCGGGAAACUCACCGGACAAGACAGCUGAAUGAUAGUCGGGCUGAAGACUCUACUUGACUAGCUGAGAGGAGGUGCAUGGCCGUCGUCAGUUCGUACUGUGAAGCACCCUGUUAAGUCAGGCAACGAGCGAGACCCA
rnacentral:rRNA from 1 species